rnacentral:ncRNA from 1 species
UUAUCAAGAGUGGACGAGAGACUCGGCUUGUUGACUCCACAGCAACCUACAAUUUAUUUGAAAGGUGCUAAAACCGACAGAGCAAGAGCUUUGAGUGAUGA